rnacentral:rRNA from 1 species
GACGAACGCUGGCGGCGUGCUUAACACAUGCAAGUCGAACGGAAAGGCCCUGCUUGCAGGGUACUCGAGUGGCGAACGGGUGAGUAACACGUGGGUGAUCUGCCCUGCACUUCGGGAUAAGCUUGGGAAACUGGGUCUAAUACCGGAUAGGAACCAUCUUUAGUGUGGUGGUUGGAAAGUUUUUUCGGUGUAGGAUGAGCUCGCGGCCUAUCAGCUUGUUGGUGGGGUAAUGGCCUACCAAGGCGGCGACGGGUAGCCGGCCUGAGAGGGUGUACGGCCACAUUGGGACUGAGAUACGGCCCAGAAUCCUACGGGAGGCAGCAGUGGGGAAUAUUGCACAAUGGGCGCAAGCCUGAUGCAGCGACGCCGCGUGGGGGAUGAAGGCCUUCGGGUUGUAAACUCCUUUCGCUAGGGACGAAGCUUUGUUGUGACGGUACCUAGAUAAGAAGCACCGGCUAACUACGUG